rnacentral:lncRNA from 1 species
GUUUUUCGAACCAAGCAUAGUUUUGUGAACACGUACUAUGAAGAUGUGACCUCGUUCCUAAACGUGAAUAAAAAUGAGACGAUUGGUAUAAGUAAAUGAAACAACAACUCUCCGAUAAAAAUUACAUCUAAAAGUUUUUUUAAAUAAACAAGAAACAUAAAAAUAUAACAAUUAACAAUUAGCAAUCACUGGUGAUGUUUCAUGCUGUAGUUGGGCACAUGAACCUAGGCAUGGUUGAAAUUAUUAAAC